rnacentral:rRNA from 1 species
UCGAGAAUCUUCCGCAAUGGGCGAAAGCCUGACGGAGCGACACCGCGUGCAGGACGAAGGCCCUCGGGUUGUAAACUGCUGUCACGCCCUAGGAAUGCCAUGUCGUUAAUAGCGGCAUGGUUGACCAAGGCGAAAGGAAGUGGCGGCUAACUCUGUGCCAGCAGCCGCGGUAAGACAGAGGCCACGAACGUUGUUCGGAAUCACUGGGCAUAAAGCGCACGUAGGCGGCUAGGUCCGUCCAAUGUGAAAGCCCCCGGCUCAACCGGGGAAUUGCAUCGGAUACAGCCUGGCUUGAGGACGGUUGGGGUGAGUGGAACUCCUGGUGGAGCGGUGAAAUGCGUAGAUAUCAGGAGGAACACCGGUGGCGAAAGCGGCUCACUGGACCGUAACUGACGCUGAGGUGCGAAAGCUAGGGGAGCAAACGGGAUUAGAUACCCAUGUAGUCCCUGAGCGGGCUGGCAAGGCGCAU